UUCCUGGAGGACUAGUGGUUAGGCCACAGCGCCCUCACCGCUGUGUCCUGGGCUCGAUUCCUGGCCAGGGAA
rnacentral:tRNA from 1 species